GGGCGCCCCCCCCUCAUUUUGGGCACCAAAUGCUGGGAAAAUUUGGGCACACAAUUGUACUUUGUAAAAGUUGUAUAAAAAAUAGUGUGUUCUUGAAUGUGUCCAAUUUAACAGCGAAUUUAAAUUCAGAGUGUCUAUAGUUAGGCAAUUAAAUAGAAAUCUGAAGACUCAUACCCUCUAUUGUUUGGAGUACAGAAAAUGGGUACAGAAAAUCUGCAGACGCCUGCAAGAAUCGCAUAAAGAAUAUGAAGCAUUCUUAUAAAAAAAAUAAAGGACCACAACAAUAAAAGUGGGAGUGGCAAGAAAACUAGCAAGUUUUUUGACGCUAUGGAUAAAAUAUUAGGAACCAGACCCGCUACCCGUCCAACACAUAUUCUGGAGACAAGUAUUAAUUCAGAAACACAAGAUUUGGAUGAUUUUGAUGAUGAUGAUAAUGAUGAGGAACCAACAAGAGUCAAUUUGGAAAAUGAAGAAAAUGAGCCUACAGAAACCGUCCUCCGUAAACAGCCAGAAAAAAAAGGACCAGAAAAGAAAAAAAGAAACAGAGAGGAUAUAAUUCAACGUGUUCUGAAUGAGACAACAACCAGCUUUAUAAAUUAUCAAAGAGAACAAGAAAGAUCAUAUUUUGAAUUCGAAGAAAAAAGAAUGAGAAUGGAGGCAGAUUCAGAGAGACUUGGAGAAGAUCAGAGACGGGAGGAUCGACUUAGAGCUGAGGAACAACGACGCGAGGAUAGGGAAAGAGAUAGGCAACAUGAAUUAAGAUUAUGGAGUUUGUUUGCCAAUCAGGGAUUUCAGCAGCAUCAAUUUUCUCAACAACAAAAUGGACAUGUUCCGCAGCCACAAUUUUUACAAGGAGCUAAUGGACACACAUAUACAAAUUUAUAAAACCAUAUUAUUUCCAAGACCUAUCAUUUUGUGCCAAAAGUUCUGCUAUGUAGAGCAUUUAUUUUCAUUGAUAACAGUUAAUUUUUGUUUGUAGAAAUACAUAGUUUUAUUUAUCAUUCCAUUGUGCCAAGGCUAGAGUUUUAAUAAAUUAAUUUCCAUGUUUUAAUUAUUAAUAUCCAUAUCAUUUAACUUAAUGUAUCAUGAAGCUGAAUCAUAUUAUUUUCAAGAUAUACCAUUUUGUGCCAAAAUAUCUGACAUGUAGCGCAAUUAUUGUCAUUGAUAACAGUUUAUUUUUGUUUCUACAAAUACAUGAAUUUUAUUUGUCAUUCCAUUUUACCAUGGCUCAAGUUUUAAUAAAUUUAUUUCCAUGUUUUAA